UAGGUCAGAAAAUUUGUCCUAUA
rnacentral:siRNA from 1 species